AUCUUGUAUGAAGAACAUGUAGUGAACUAUUUCUUGGUAAGAUUGACAUUGCGAUUGUACUGUAAAGUGCUGCACUUUGUGACAACUGUUGUUGUCAAUACGGGAUAGACAACUGAUUCUGAUUCAAAUCCUGUUGUAUUUUUUCAUGCUUCGUAACCAACAGGUGUGGACUAACAGUGAAAUGCUUUCUGAUGGAAAAGAAAAUUGAGAAAUAAUAGAAAAGUAAAACACGUAAUAAUAAAAGUAAUAAUAUAUACAUAAUGAGUAACUAUAACUUGUAACUUAUAUACAAAAGCUACCAGUACUGAGUUGAUGUGCAGGGGUAUGAGGUAAUAACUCGGCUAUAUACAAGAGUUACCAGUACUGAGUUGAUGUGCAGGGGUAUGAGGUAAUAACUUGGCUAUAUACAAGAGGUACCAGUACUGAGUUGAUGUGCAGGGGUAUGAGGUAAUAACUUGGCUAUAUACAAGAGGUACCAGUACUGAGUUGAUGUGCAGGGGUAUGAGGUAAUAACUUGGCUAUAUACAAGAGGUACCAGUACUGAGUUGAUGUGCAGGGGUAUGAGGUAAUAACUUGGCUAUAUACAAGAGGUACCAGUACUGAGUUGAUGUGCAGGGGUAUGAGGUAAUAACUUGGCUAUAUACAAGAGGUACCAGUACUGAGUUGAUGUGCAGGGGUAUGAGGUAAUAACUUGGCUAUAUACAAGAGGUACCAGUACUGAGUUGAUGUGCAGGGGUAUGAGGUAAUAACUUGGCUAUAUACAAGAGGUACCAGUACUGAGUUGAUGUGCAGGGGUAUGAGGUAAUAACUUGGCUAUAUACAAGAGGUACCAGUACUGAGUUGAUGUGCAGGGGUAUGAGGUAAUAACUUGGCUAUAUACAAGAGGUACCAGUACUGAGUUGAUGUGCAGGGGUAUGAGGUAAUAACUUGGCUAUAUACAAGAGGUACCAGUACUGAGUUGAUGUGCAGGGGUAUGAGGU